rnacentral:rRNA from 1 species
AUACGGAGGGGGCUAGCGUUGUUCGGAAUUACUGGGCGUAAAGCGCGCGUAGGCGGCGGUACAAGUUGGUUGUGAAAGCCCGGGGCUCAACCCCGGAUGUGCGUCCAAAACUGUAUUGCUUGAGGCCGAGAGAGGGUGGCGGAAUUCCCAGUGUAGAGGUGAAAUUCGUAGAUAUUGGGAAGAACACCAGUGGCGAAGGCGGCCACCUGGCUCGGAACUGACGCUGAGGCGCGAAAGCGUGGGGAGCAAACAGGAUUAGAUACCCCAGUAGUCC